rnacentral:rRNA from 1 species
AGAGUUUGAUCCUGGCUUAGGAUGAACGCUGACAGAAUGCUUAACACAUGCAAGUCUACUUGAUCCUUCGGGUGAAGGUGGCGGACGGGUGAGUAACGCGUAAAGAACUUGCCUUACAGACUGGGACAACAUUUGGAAACGAAUGCUAAUACUGGAUAUUAUGAUUGGGUCGCAUGAUCUGGUUAUGAAAGCUAUAUGCGCUGUGAGAGAGCUUUGCGUCCCAUUAGUUAGUUGGUGAGGUAACGGCUCACCAAGACGAUGAUGGGUAGCCGGCCUGAGAGGGUGAACGGCCACAAGGGGACUGAGACACGGCCCUUACUCCUACGGGAGGCAGCAGUGGGGAAUAUUGGACAAUGGACCAAAAGUCUGAUCCAGCAAAUUCUGUGUGCACGAUGAAGUUUUCGGAAUGUAAAGUGCUUUCAGUUGGGAAGAAGUCAGUGACGGUACCAACAGAAGAAGCGACGGCUAAAUACGUGCCAGCAGCGGC